rnacentral:rRNA from 1 species
UACAGAGGUCUCAAGCGUUGCUCGGAAUUACUGGGCGUAAAGGGCGCGUAGGCGGUACUUCAAGUCAGGCGUGAAAGCCCCGGGCUCAACCUGGGAACCGCGCUUGAGACUGGAGAACUAGAGUUCGGGAGAGGAUGGUGGAAUUCCCAGUGUAGAGGUGAAAUUCGUAGAUAUUGGGAAGAACACCGAUGGCGAAGGCAGCCAUCUGGACCGACACUGACGCUGAGGCGCGAAAGCGUGGGGAGCAAACAGG